GUUCCUGACAUGUCAGAACAAAAUUAAUAAAAACUUUUUUGAAAUCUGGUAACCUUGAGCUAUGUUCUCUACCGAUUGAGCUAUUCCGACAAUUAUUACUCACUUUUACAAUUGUUAGUCAAUCAUAUCUGGACAUGCAACAUUCCACUUACCCAUAUAUAUGCCUUUAAAAAGGACUGUUUCGACUAUAAAUACUUGAAAUUAUAAAGAAAUUGCCCUAUUAUUCUUUACAGUCUAUUGUGUGUAGGCUAAAUUUAGGAGACACUUGUGAAAAUAUGCAAUGAAAAAUGAAUAUUUACAUUGAAAAUACAGGAAAUGAAAAUGAACAUUUUACUUUAUCAAUAUUUCUUAAUGUUUCAUUGAAGAAUGUAAUAAAUUAAAAGAAAUAUUGUAUUAAUUAGGAAAAGUUUUUAUUUCAGGUGUGUGAUUAAAGGCUUGUUUGUUAGAUUUCAAUUGUGGCACAGUUGGUUGUUUGCUGAGAAGCUGUGAAACAUAAUUAUACAGGCCAUUAAGUGGUACCAAAAAGAUGGUAAAUUGGUAGUGUUCAGUUCCGGGCAAACAUUUUCUUCAAGAGUUUUUUGUCAGAUUGAUGAAUGUGAAAUUAAGAGGACCCAUUUUGAGAAUGCAUCAAGAGAGAUAAAGUCUAAAAUGUGAUACUGUCAAUGUGACUAACCUUGAAGUAAACAGAUGACACAAUGUUUUUUCAAUGUCAUGGGCAUAUAAUGAAGAGAAAACAGAGAUGCUUGUUUGACAGAUACAGUAAUAGUAGGAGUUAUGAGGGAAGAUAGAUUGCAGUGAUAACUAUAUUGAGGCACCACUUCAUCACCAAGAACAUGAGAUGACUUAUCAAUGUUUUCAAUGUGUUUGAACACCCAUUUUAAAUAAUACAGCUCAGAGUGAAUUUUUCAAAAUAAUUAAUUCUGUUUUCAAAGUUUUUUAUUUAGAUGUUAGUUGAUCUUGUCAAGUACUUCAUUUUUUUAGGGAUGGCAACAAAUACUAAAAUCAAUACUUGAGUACUCGGUCAUUUUUCAG